rnacentral:misc_RNA from 1 species
GAUGAAGAACGCAGCGAAAUGCGAUACUUGGUGUGAAUUGCAGAAUCCCGUGAACCAUCGAGUCUUUGAACGCAAGUUGCGCCCGAAGCCAUUAGGCCGAGGGCACGCCUGCCUGGGCGUCACACGUCGUUGCCCCCCCAUCUACUCCUUCGGGAUUGCGGGGGGCGGAUGAUGGCCUCCCGUGCGCCUAGUCGCGCGGUUGGCAUAAAUGCCAAGUCCUCGGCGACGCACGCCACGACAAUCGGUGGUUGCGAAACCUCGGUUGCCCGUCGUGUGCGGUCGUCGCGCAUCGAGGGCUCGAAAAAAUUGCCGGGCUCCGGCUCGGCUUUCAACGCGACCCCAGGUCAGGCGGGGUUACCCGCUGAAUUUAAGCAUAUCAAUAAGCGGAGGA